GACGAACGCUGGCGGCGUGCCUAAUACAUGCAAGUAGAACGCUGAAGAGAGGAGCUUGCUCUUCUUGGAUGAGUUGCGAACGGGUGAGUAACGCGUAGGUAACCUGCCUUGUAGCGGGGGAUAACUAUUGGAAACGAUAGCUAAUACCGCAUAACAAUGGAUGACACAUGUCAUUUAUUUGAAAGGGGCAAUUGCUCCACUACAAGAUGGACCUGCGUUGUAUUUGCUAGUAGGUUAGGUUAUGGCUCAACUAGGCGACGAUACAUAGCCGACCUGAGAGGGGGAUCGGCCACACUGGGAAUGGGACACGGCCCAGACUCCUACGGGAGGCAGCAGUAGGGAAACUUCGGCAAUGGGGGCAACGCUGACCGAGCAACGCCGGGUGAGGGAAGAAGGUUUUCGGAGCGUAAAGCUCUGUUUUAAGUCAAGAACGGGAGUGAGAGUGGAAAGUGCACACUGUGACGGUAGCUUACCAGAAAGGGACGGCUAACUACGUG
rnacentral:rRNA from 1 species